GAUGAACGCUGGCGGCGUGCCUAAUACAUGCAAGUCGAGCGAACAGACCAGGAGCUUGCUCCCCUGACGUUAGCGGCCGACGGGUGAGUAACUCGUGGAUAAACUAACUAUAAGACUGGGAUAACUUCGGGAAACCGGAGCUAAUAACGGAUAAUAUAUUGCACCGCAUUGUUCCAUAGUUAAAGACGCUUUUUCUGUCACUUAAAGCUUGCUCCGCGCAUCAUUAGCUAGUUGGCAAGGUAACGGCUUACCAAGGCGACGAUGCGUAGCCGCCCUGAGCGGGUGGUCGGCCACACUGGAACUGAGGAAGGGUCCAGACUCCUGCGGUGGGCAGCGGUACGGAAUCUUCCGCGAUGGGCGAAUGCCGGACGGAGCACCGCCGCGUGAGUGAUGAAGGUCUUCGGAUCGUAGAGCUCUGUUAUUAGGGGAGAACAAAUGUGUAAGUAACUAUGCUCAUCUUGACGGUACCUAAUCAGAAAGCCACGGCUAACUACGUG
rnacentral:rRNA from 1 species